UGAAUUUAAUACUCAAAACCAUACGGUGUCUACUAGAAUACUCCUAAAAUCCGGUGUCACAAGUGUAUGAGCAACUAGUAUAAAAUACAAAAUCACCUAUACUACUGUCUCGAAUAAGAUAGACAUAAAGUAAAUACAAAAAAAAAAUUGCGGGUGCUGCAGAACGGACACAGAGAGAAGCUCACCACUAUGCCUCGGGGUAAUGGGAGUAUGCGCCUGAAUGACUGGCAGAUGCACCUGCCUCAGAUCAUGCACGAUUUGUGAAGAAGUGUAGCGUGAGUACAUAAACAACAUGUACCCAGUAAGUAUCUAAUCUAACCUCAAAGAAGUAGUGACGAGGGGUCGACGUCGAUACUUACUAUGGGCCGAUAAAUAAAAUACAGAAAUUCUAAAUGUGCAUGGAAUAUAUCAAUAAUAAUAACAAGUAACAAAUAGUAAAUAAGGGAUUCUUUAACUAGAAGUCAAUUUAAAAUCUCUAAUUAGCACAUACUAACUUCAACAAAUACGGGCCAUCAAGUAAACUGUAAUUUCUCAAGUCAUGAAAGUAAUAUCAAGUGUAAUCUGACUCCAAGCAUUAUCACGCACGAUUUAUGCUGAGGUCGUACGACCCGAACCAUAAUAAUAUGUACACUGCCGAGAGUCGACCGACACGAACCAUAGAUACAUCUAUUAUACCGUCGAGGCAUUCGGUCCGCUCCACAAGAAGAGAGAAUACUCUACGAACUCCGAUUUAAGGUUAUCACAAGACUAAUGCACAAGAAGGCACAAUUUCUAUCAACGGUCAAGUGACCCGCCGAAACUCAAAGUAAGUGAAGUUCGGUUUUUACAAAUCCUUUAUCAAGUUUCAAUAUAAUUUAAGCACUUAAAUUAACAAGUAGAGUGUAAUUAAUACAAGUAUUACAUGAUAGAUUCCUAAAACUACCUGGACAUAAACAUGAUUUGUGGCUACGCACGGACUCUCGUCACUUCAUGCAUACAUAGGACCCACAAUUAGUAGCAAAUAGUAAUCUAAAAUACAUAUGGGGUAAAUUACCUCUUACAAGGUUAGGCAAGAGACUUACCUCGUUUCAAAGUCCACUUUUCGAUCCCCAAAUCACUCUAAAAUCCUCAAGUCGAUGCCGGACAAUCCGAAACUAGUCAAAUAUUAUAUAAAUUAAUCAAUGCAUACUCAAAAUUUCAUAAUUUAGCUUCUAGAGUCAUAACCCAACCCAAAUUGGAAGAUUCUUAAAAUUCGUCCCCUGGCCCACGUAUCCAAAUUCCAAAUUUUUUUGAAGAUAAAUGUUACUCAUAACCCCACGAACCCAAAUAUAUAAUUUUUACACAAUUUCAUAAUCAUUUUCGUAGUCCAAUCACAUUUUUAUCAAAAUUUAGGGUUUUCAACUAAACCUAUAAUUUCUACAAUUCACAUGUUAGGAAUAUACCCAAAAUCUGCGUAUUAAACUCACAUUAAGUAGUAAUUACUUACCUCACGAUGGUAGGCGAAACAUCCCUCUCCAAGAGAUCCUCAAUCGACCACCCAAGUGAAAUGAGAGAAAAAGAACCUAAGUCUGAUAUAAAUGCACGCCUCACUACCCCAACAAUUUUCGUACCUGUGACUCCGCUUCUGCGGACAAAUCGUCGCAGGUGCAGACCUUUCCCAGGCAAGCCCCUCUCGCUUCUGCGGACAAAGUCUCGCUAUUGCGAGCCCGCUUCUACGGAAAGAAACUCGCGCCUGCACAUGCGCAUCCAGUCCUGGAUAGUUACUUUCGCUUCUGCGAACGAGGCGCCUCACCUGCGGCCAUUCCCACUGUAGGUGCGAACGCACCAGAUGCCAUCCACCUUCAGCUCUUCUCCAAAGUACAAUCAAGCUCCGUUAACCCUCCGAAUCCAACACGUGGGCCCCGGGGCCUCGACCAAACAUACCAACAAGUUCGUAAACAUAAAACGGACUCGCUCGAACCCUCAGAACGUGUGAAACGACAUCAAAACUAAGAAUCGCACCGCAAAACCAAAUUGAAUCAAUUUAUGAACUUCAAGUUUUUCUAACUUACUCCGAACGCGUCGAAUCAUACUUAGACUACUCGGAAUGAUACCAAAUUUAGCGUGCAAGUCAUAAAUCACCAUAAGGAACUAUUCCAUGCUCGUAAUCCCAAACGGACUUUGAUAACACCAAAACUUACUCCAAACCAAACUUAAAGAACUUGAAGAACCUUCAACGCGCCAACUUCAAUAUUAAGCGCUGAAACGCUCCCGGAUCGUCCGAAACCCGAUCCGAACACACGCCUAAGUCCAAAAUCAUCAUACGAACCUAUUGAAACCGUCAAAUCCCGGUUCCAAGGUCGUUUACUCAAAACGUUGACUCAAGUAAAACUUGGCCAUUAUAGGCCACUACUAAGGAACUAAGUAUUCUGAUUUCAACCCGAAUACUUCCAAACCUGAAUCAACCAUUCCUGCAAGUCAUAAAACAGUAAAAGCACAUACGAAGAGUCUUAAUUAGGGGAGCGGGGAUCUAGAAAGUAAAAUGACCGGUCGGGUCAUUACAUUAUGUGUUUCACAGACUUAAACAAAGUCAAUUUUUUCCUUGAAUUAGGAUUUUAAAAUAAUCGGUGACUUGGAACACCUUAAUAAAUUAAUCCAGGUGGCGACUCUAUAAAUAAAUAAAAAAAAUAGUCCCUUUUAAAUAAUAUCAAUUAAAUUGAAAAAACUCCUUUUUUUCACAACCACCCGGAAAAAGGAUGUCUGACAAUAGAUAAAAGAAAAAAUUAAAAAUAUUGAAUAAUAAAAAUAAAUUAGAGCUAAUGUGAGGAUAUUUAUACUAAGAAUUACUUUAGAAAAUAAAAUAAAGUAAAUAUACAAUACUUAAAAAUAUUAUUGAUAAAUUUAAACAAUUUAAGAAUUUCAAUCAACAUUUUAAUUUUUUUUUAAAAAUAUUUAAUUUAAUAUAAAAAAUCACAUAUCUAUCUAUAUUAUAUUAAAAAUAGAAGUGGAUAAACAUAUUAAUUAAAGUAAAAAGUUAAUAAAAAAUCACAUAAAAACGUGAUAAUAUUACAUAUUAGAUAACAUUAUAGCAAAAGUAAGAAAAAUAAUUAAAAUAAAAAAAUCUAUAUUGAAAAUAAAAGGAAAAGACUAUUUGAACUUGAGAUUAGAAAGUUCUUAAAGUUAUGAUGAGAAUGCUCAAAAUAUGAAUAUGACCACAAAAUUAAUUUCUUGAUAUAUAAAGAAAAAUAAAAAUUUGAUACUAAAUAAAAUUUAAAUAUACUAAAGAAAUAUCUCAUGUAGGUAACUUCACUAAUGAAAAUUAAAAGCCAAAUUUGUAUGUUGAAACUAAAAGAGAAAACAAAACAAAUGCACGUAAUACAAAAAAUAAUUAUAAGAAAAUUCAAUAGAUUUAAAACAUUAUAAAAGAACUUAUGUAUUAGUCUUUUGACUAAUUCAAAGUUAUAUUUUAAAAUAAAAUGUGAUAUUAUUUUGAGUAUUGGUAAAAUAUUCAAAUAAAAAGCUAAUUAGAAUUUCUUAGUAGGGAAGAUAAUGUAUAUAGAGGAAAAUAGAGAUAGUGCAAGGAUACUUAUAUUUUUAAAUUUAUUUAAAAAUAAAUAAAUUAAAUUAUUAAAUAAUACUCAAAAAUAUUAUUAAUAGAUUUAAAUAAUGAAAGAGAUCCAAGUAAGAGGAUAAUAGUGUAAAAAUACAUUAAAUUUCAAGAAUAAUUUUUAAAUAUAUUUAUUGAUAAUUAUUAAAAGGGUAAUAAAAGAUCACAUUACAAUAUAACAAUAUUAAGUACUUAAUACAAUUUUCCAAUGAGAGAAAGCGAAAGACCAAAAAUCCUUUCGAUAAAACACUCUUUACUAUUAUAAAGAUGGACAUUUUGAAAUUUAUCAUACUAAACCACCAAAAGAUAUGUUGCAGUGGAGUGAAUGAGACUUAACCAGAGGUCUUGAGUUCGAGCAAUGGGUCAAAAAUUCUUGAUAGGGAGCGCUUUUCCUCGAAUGAGAUCCUACGCGGCACGAAUCCGAAUAUAGUCGGGCUCCAAUACGGAUAUCGAACACCAGGUGAGAAAUCAAAAAAAAAAAAAAUUAUCAUACUAAAAAUGUGAAGGAACCUCAAAAAAGGAAGUUGUACAAACUCCAUAAUGAAGGAACCUCAGUAAAGGAAUACUGCUCACCGUUGUGAUGUCAAUGGAGUUUCCCAAAAAUAAAAUAAUCCCACAUAUUCAAGCUGCAAAGGCCAAGAACUAUUAUAAAAAGAAGCUUCUCAUAGCUUAAAAAUGCAGUGAAGAAACAAUAACAAAAAUAAUGGAAAGACUAUUUUACCACACUAGCAAUUUCAUAAUCAUUACAAAGUGAAAAGUUGCAAUUUAGCACAUAUCCAACUGGAAAAAAAAAAAAGAAGCUUUCCGUCCGUAUUUUUAAACAUCACAUUGAGUGCAAAUGUUACUCUUGUGAGUGAAUUAAAUGCCUGAAAAACAGAUAUGGCACAUCAUAAUACUAGCCAACUCACUUAUCCUAGUUGUGUCACCAUUUUACAUAAAUAAAAAACAAUCACACUCAUGAACUUUUAUUUACAGAUUGAAAUUAUUGUCUUUCUUGACUCCUUCAGAAUCCAAUUGCUACGGUAUCAACACACGUAACAAUAAAUUUCAUCAUAUUUUUGGACCUUCUAUAGAUAACAUUAUCUGAUCUUUUAGGAAAUUCAUUUGAGUUAACACGCUUAAAGAUUAACACGCUUAUUUAAUUGAGUUACCUCAGUUGAAUCCUACGUGAAAGAUUACCAUGAUUCUGUUGUUGCAUGACUUGCUAACCUGCAAAUUCGUCUCAUCCAAAUGAAAAUCUCCUCCUUUUUCGCGUGUGAUCCAAUCUUCCAGCAGUAAAUUUUGACAAGUCAAAUUUUUAGUAGAACGGUUUAAUUCUAAACUAAUUUAGUUGGCAAAAGACAAAAUUCAUAAUGCAUUUGCAAAAUAUAGACAAUUACUGACAUGCAUGUAAAAGUCCUACCAAGAUAUUGUUCAAAUUAAUAGAAAACUAACAUAUAUUUUCAAAACCAGCACAACAAGUGCAAUAAACAAAGAAAAACAAUAUAAAUAUGUCACCAAACCAGAGUGCUCACACCAAAUUCAAAUAGAAGAAAGAUAGAUAAACUUAGAAACAAUGAAGAUCAAAUCCUGAUUUUUAUCGAACAUAUAGGCCAAAAACAAAGAAAGAUUGCAAGAAAACUUACCAAAUCAAUGAGCUCACAGUUGAAAGAGGGAAGAGCAGAAAGGCAAAAUAUUUGAG
rnacentral:lncRNA from 1 species